GAUGAACGCUGGCGGCGUGCCUAAUACAUGCAAGUCGAGCGAACAGACGAGGAGCUUGCUCCUCUGACGUUAGCGGCGGACGGGUGAGUAACACGUGGAUAACCUACCUAUAAGACUGGGAUAACUUCGGGAAACCUGAGCUAAUACCGGAUAAUAUAUUGAACCGCAUGGUUCAAUAGUGAAAGACGGUUUUGCUGUCACUUAUAGAUGGAUCCGCGCCGCAUUAUCUAGUUGGUAAGGUAACGGCUUACCAAGGCAACGAUGCGUAGCCGACCUGAGAGGGUGAUCGGCCACACUGGAACUGAGACACGGUCCAGAAUCCUACGGGAGGCAGCAGUAGGGAAUCUUCCGCAAUGGGCGAAAGCCUGACGGAGCAACGCCGCGUGAGUGAUGAAGGUCUUCGGAUCGUAAAACUCUGUUAUUAGGGAAGAACAAAUGUGUAAGUAACUAUGCACGUCUUGACGGUACCUAAUCAGAAAGCCACGGCUAACUACGU
rnacentral:rRNA from 1 species